rnacentral:rRNA from 1 species
UUGUUAGCCUAAAGGCGCAAUGAAAGUGAAGGUCGUCCUUAGCGUCGACCUAGGGAGGAUGUCUCGCGUAGCGAUACGCGAGUCCGCACUCCCGGGGCGUCUCGUGCUCAUUGCGAGCAGAGGCGCACCCAGAGCGCACACGUUGGGACCCGAAAGAUGGUGAACUAUGCCUGGUCAGGACAAAGUCUUUGGGAAACCCUGAUGAAGGU